AUUGAACGCUGGCGGCAGGCCUAACACAUGCAAGUCGAGCGGAUGAAGGGAGCUUGCUCCUGGAUUCAGCGGCGGACGGGUGAGUAAUGCCUAGGAAUCUGCCUGGUAGUGGGGGAUAACGUCCGGAAACGGGCGCUAAUACCGCAUACGUCCUGAGGGAGAAAGUGGGGGAUCUUCGUACCUCACGCUAUCAGAUGAGCCUAGGUCGGAUUAGCUAGUUGGUGGGGUAAAGGCCUACCAAGGCGACGAUCCGUAACUGGUCUGAGAGGAUGAUCAGUCACACUGGAACUGAGACACGGUCCAGACUCCUACGGGAGGCAGCAGUGGGGAAUAUUGGACAAUGGGCGAAAGCCUGAUCCAGCCAUGCCGCGUGUGUGAAGAAGGUCUUCGGAUUGUAAAGCACUUUAAGUUGGGAGGAAGGGCAGUAAGUUAAUACCUUGCUGUUUUGACGUUACCAACAGAAUAAGCACCGGCUAACUUCGUG
rnacentral:rRNA from 1 species